rnacentral:snRNA from 1 species
AUCAGUCUGUAGGACAAUAUAUUAAAUGGGUUUUUGGAACUAGGAGCUGGAAAAGGAGCUUGCUCGGUCCACUCCANGCAUCGACCUGGUAUUGCAGUGCUUCCAGAAACGGUGCAUCCCCA